CCAAAAUCCGUGGAUGCUCAAGUCCUUUAUGUUAAGUGGUGACAUAUAUACAUCUUCCAGUCUAGUUUAAAUCAUCUCUAGAUGCCUAAUAAUACCUAGUGCAAUCAACUGUGGAACCAUUCCUUGCCUUUUAAGUUGUCAAGGUUGAUACUCCAUUCUUCCCAAAGCCUCAACUGACUUCCAUAGUGACCUAUGGUUGGAACAUAAAAGCAGAAAAUCUUGAGAGAAAACACUUGAUCUUUCCCCACUGCAUGUGAUGUCCUAUCCAUCCUGGAUAUAUUUAUGGAUUCCCCGCAUCCGGAAGAGGA